rnacentral:rRNA from 1 species
AAUAUUUGACAAUGGGCGAAAGCCUGAUCCAGCCAUGCCGCGUGUGUGAAGAAGGUCUUCGGAUUGUACAGCACUUUAAGGUGGGAGGAAGGGUUGUAGGUUAAUACCCUGCAAUUUUGACGUUACCAACAGAAUAAGCACCGGCUAACUUCUUGCCACCAGCCGCGGUAAUAUGAAGGGUGCAAGCGUGAAUCGGGAUUACUGGGCGUAAAGCGCGCGUAGGUGGUUCGGUAAGUUGGAAGUGAAAGCCCCGGGCUUAACCUGGGAAUUGCUUUCAAAACUGACGAGCUAGAGUACGGUAGAGGGUAGUGGAAUUUCCUGUGUAGCGGUGAAAUGCGUAGAUAUAGGAAGGAACAUCAGUGGCGAAGGCGACUACCUGGACUGAUACUGACACUGAGGUGCGAAAGCGUGGGGAGCAAACAGG